rnacentral:rRNA from 1 species
UACAGAGGUCCCAAGCGUUGUUCGGAUUCACUGGGCGUAAAGGGUGCGUAGGCGGUCGGGUAAGUCUGAUGUGAAAUCUCACAGCUUAACUGUGAAACUGCAUUGGAUACUAUCCGGCUCGAGGAAUGGAGGGGAGACUGGAGUACUUGGUGUAGCAGUGAAAUGCGUAGAUAUCAAGUGGAACACCGGUGGCGAAGGCGAGUCUCUGGACAUUUCCUGACGCUGAGGCACGAAAGCCAGGGGAGCAAACGGG